UAAUUGAGACAGUGGUGCUUACCAGGGCAUAGAGGAAGACUGAAUGGGGAGUUUAAUGAGUAUGAGUUUGGAAUGUUGAGAAAACUCAAGAUGGAUGAUGGUUGUAUAACAAACUACUUAAAAGUGGUUAAAAAAAAUAAAUGUAUCAAAAAAAUAAAUGGCCUAUAAUUCUGCCAUUCAGGUAACCCUAUUAACACGUGUUUGUAAUGUAUUAUGUGUUACAUAAAUGUACACUUGGUUAAAAGUUCAGAGAGAAAGGUAUAAAAUUAAAAAUACAUCUACUUCCCAGUCUCUACUGAAUCCCAGUGUCUCCACAAAAUAAUUUUUCAAUACUACAUUUAGAAAAAUAGUUCUGAGCUUUUACCUAAUGAUACAUAUAUGGAAGUUAAACUGGUCAUGCUGUAAACAUAGAAAUUGCUGCCAGCAUUAUCACUCUGCUCUUCCUUGUCUUAACAGUUCCAAGAAUCCCAUUGUGUUCCUGAACUACUUCUGUAACCCUUCUCUGACAGGCAUAAUGAACCCCUCCAUAUAUAACAUCCAAGCAUUACUUAAAUGGAACUGCUCCCCCUCCCUCUUGGAACCACUGACUCCUCACUUCCUGUCCCUGUGGCUGAUGCCUUUGAACUUGUAACUGAUCUGUUCCGGUCCACAAAGGUGAGAAGCUUGCACUGAGUGAAUCCGCCACCUGGCUGUUUAGCUUUCUGUGCUCUGGACUUUAUCAUCAGGGAAGCUAGUGCACAUGCCUUAGCAUAAGGAGUUUGAUAUGGCUAUGGACUUACCUGGUGGUUCAGUGGUUAAGGCUGUGCUUCCAAUGCAGGGGACACAGGUUUGAUCCCUGGUUGGGAAACUAAGACCCUGCAUGCUGGGCAGCGUGGUCAAUAAAAAUAGACUGACAUGGUUUUUGUUUUGUGUAUCUUAAACUUAAUAUAAACUGUACUUGAUAUUAGCUCUUGAUGCCUGGUUUAUUCAGUUUCAUUGAUGCAGUGAUCUCAACAUAUCUCAAGUAUACUUACUCAUUUUCCUAUUGUUGGUCAUUUAGGUCAUUUCCAGUGCUUUUAGAAACAUCCUAGUAUGGCUCUUCCAGCACUUGUGAGGAAUUCUCUAAGGUAAGGACCUGCCAGGUUAUAUGUUAACAGCAUCUGUAAAUUUACCAAAUUGCUCUACAAUAUAAGGAUGGCCCAGUCUCCCCAUCCUUGGUAUUAGAAGACCCAUCUGUGAAUUUAUAUAAAUUCUUUUGUUUAUAUCACUUGGCCAUUUUUCUUUGGGGGUAUAACUUAGUUUUUCAAAUCUUUUGAUUCAUUUGAGCAUAAGGGAGACAUGGUCCUUUUUCCCCCAGAAUAAGCAGACAAAAUGGAUAGGCCAGCUUUCACAUACUAAGCUAAAGAUGCCACCUUUCUCAGAUAAUGCAUUUAAUGAUUAUAGGUUUAUUGCUGAGGUUUGGUACUGCUUCCAUGUUAUUCUUACAUUUUUAAAUCAUUUUUAUUAGAAUCAGUCUAGUAUCAAAAUGCAUGACUUGUGUACAUUCAUACAUUCCUAAACGUGAGGGGUUCUCAUUGAUCCAGGAUGACCACUGCUCCCUUUUGUUUGCCCCUAGGCAUUUAUUUCCCCUUCUUUUGUCUGACUGUGGUGACUCGCCAGACCAGCACUAAGUUGUGGAAUGGUAGAUGGUGAGUGUGAUUCUGGAAGCCAACACUUCUGGGACAUCAAAGUAGAUGUUAAGUCAAAUAUUCCCCCUCACCCCUCCAAAAGUCUUUUCCCCCCAUAUAUGUAGGGUUAAUUUCAGUUACUUAAAAAAUCAGUAUAGCUGAGUUACUUAGUUCUUUUCUGUAUCUAGUGGGAAUGUACAGAAUUUUAAUUUUGAUAUGAGUAUUACAAGCAUCUCUCCAUCACUAUAGUUCCCAAGCUGCUGACAGCUUUUAAAUCAUGUUAAUUAUCUCUGAAAACCCCACUGAUGACACACAUGCUUCCUCAUACUUGAGACAGUAGAACCAGGGCAGGAAUGUUUUAUAGCUCUCAUGUCACACAAGCAAACCUUCUACCCCUCUGCGCUCCUCCUGGCAGAGUGUCAACAGGAACUUCCUGUCCCUUUUGUCUGCCCAAGGGCACAACUGCUCAGGUGCCAGGGCCAGAGGCCCUCAGUGCACACCACCCACCUGCGCCUCCCGCAGAACAGUCCACACCACGCUGCAAACUUAUCGUAGAAUAGAUUUAUUUACCUGAAACCAUGUCUGUGCAAUGCUUGUUACCAGCACAGAAAUAAACUGAUCUCUAUUUACAGUCUAAAGUCAAACAUGCGUUGUGAUAAACUGACAUUUAGCAUUUUAUUGAUAUAAAUGCAUCACAAUAAUUCAUAUUGCACCAACAUCUGUCUACUGCUUCUGAUUUCAUUAAAUAAGUUACAUUUAAUACAGUGCAAAAUAGCUGUUUGCACACUCAGGAAAAUAACUGAAGUUAUGAACUGGAAGCCUACAUUUUUAACCAUUCAACACCUGUAGUGUUUUCAAUAAAUUUAUAAAUAAGCAAACUGUACAGGGCCAAUUAAAAAGUAGCAUGUUUCAAUGACACCAUAGAGAAAUCUGGCUACUUACAACUGAAGGCAUGCAUUACAAUUGAAUAUUGUACAUUUAUUUAAGCUAUGAUAUUUUGCACAGAGAAAUACGGAGACUUGGCUGAUGGCUUCUAAGUUCUUGGAUAAGGUUUCAGAACCUCAUUCUUCUUGCAGCAAAGAAACCAGACUUCUCUGGAGAGGCUUUCUGAUUCAUUAAGUUAAAUUGUACAUUUGUUACUAUUUUGAUUCAAAAGCUAAAACCCCACUGGUAAUACACAUUUCCUCCACAUAAUACACAACAAGUUGGGGACUUUUUUCUAAUUUUCUUUUCCCCCCAACAUCAAUCAUGCAGAGGGCUGGUAGAUGUGUUGCUAAAAAACGCACAUGCACGCAACCGAACACCCUUAAAUUUCUG
rnacentral:lncRNA from 1 species